GUUUGCUGGAGGAGCCACCUACCAGGACCAGGUUGUGCAAAAGGUAGUUGGGGGAUUUUUGUAGAAACCACGGAGUUGGCCAGGUAUUGAUGGCGAGCUAGGAACCUACUGCUAAGGCAAGAAAGCCUGAAGCUCUACUCAGCCCAGAAUUUAUCUUUUCAACAUCACCUGCUCUGAUUGGACCGGCCUUAAAAUAAAUCCAAAGCCUGCACAGCGCGUCAUUCUUGGGGCCAAGGAAGAGGAAGUUCCGUGGAGAGAAGGGAUCGAGGUAUCACAAUGGAGAGCAAAGCCCUGAAAAGGUUUAAUUAACCGUGUCGGAGAUAAUUAUCCCUGGACUGUCCAAAUUAGUUUUGCAUAAUCGCUCUGAUCCUUAUGAAUUAAUCUCUCGGUGUAAUCUAGGAGAGGCGGCUCUCUUCAGUUUGCUACUUUACAUGUUGCUGAGAGAUUCAAACAGUGCGCACCUGCUUCACACACACUCUCUCACACUCUGUCUUUGGUGCACCCUUUUAUUUAAAUUAAACCUUUAUGUUUUACUUCUCACACCUAGAUUAUUUUUUGAGCCUCAAUGGGAAAGCAUGUUUCCCACCAUUUCCCCUUGUUUUCUUGUCCAUGCAUGGGAAAAGAAAGCUUAGAGCAGCGCAGAGUUUCAUCUUCCGAUUAAAAUUGUGAUAAAUAAGCUUUUGCCUGUUGAUAACAAUGGGCUUAUUUAGAUUUCCCCCUCACUCACCCCCCCCUGUAAUGCAAUUCAAAGCGUGAACAAAAGCGGCCUUUGGAGGAUACCUUACACUUCACCUGGACUGGACUGAGGAGGCAGGAGCAACAGGAGGUUGAAAAAAAAAAAGAGAAGAUACCAAUCUUGUUCAUCUCAUCAAGAACUAUACAGCCAGCGAUUCCCUUCUGUUUAAUCCGAAUAGGUUUUAUUGUAGUCCUUUUGCUCAACAAUAGCUUGAUGUACAUAACGGGAUGUUAAAGGAAAACACAAAACAUACAAAUUCCACAUGAGUUAGUUAAAAAGGGUCCUUUUUUUCUUGCUGCACAUGACACAAGGAGUGGGACAGGUGAAAAUUAUAAUAAACCUCCAGCUCCUUCUAAACUUUUUUUUUUUUU